GACGAACGCUGGCGGCGUGCUUAACACAUGCAAGUCGAACGGUGAAGCGCCUUCCUUUUUGGUGGGUGUGGAUGAGUGGCGAACUGGUGAGUAACACGUGAGUAACCUGCCCCCUUCUUCUGGAUAACCGCAUGAAAGUGUUGCUAAUACGGGAUAUUCUGGGUCGGUCGCAUGAUUGGUCUGGGAAAGAUAUUGUUUCGGUGGGGGAUGGGCUCGCGGCCUAUCAGCUUGUUGGUGGGGUGAUGGCCUACCAAGGCGGUGACGGGUAGCCGGCCUGAGAGGGUGGACGGUCACACUGGGACUGAGACACGGCCAAGACUCCUACGGGAGGCAGCAGUGGGGAAUAUUGCACAAUGGGCGGAAGCCUGAUGCAGCGACGCCGCGUGAGGGAUGGAGGCCUUCGGGUUGUGAACCUCUUUCGCCAGUGAAGCAGGCCUGCCUAGUUUGUGGGUGGGUUGACGGUAGCUGGAGAAGAAGCGCCGGCUAACUACGUG
rnacentral:rRNA from 1 species